CUCAUUUUGGCAUUGUCUCUACAGGUCACUUAAAUCUCUCCAAAUUUCAGGGGAGCCUUGACAACACCUCAGGAUGGCCCCGAAGAAUAAAAAUCACCCCGCCAUUCCCAAGAGCAACAGGAGGCUAGAGAAGAAGAGAGACCAGCAAGGGGAGAAAGGCCGUCUCCACCACAACCUGCCUGGACAAUGAACAAGGACAAGCAUAGUGAUGGACAUCACAAAUGACAUUGAAGACCAGAUACCUGGACACCAUUUAAGCUUCCAGGAAAUUAGAUGCCACCAUGGAAAAGGUGAGGACUCCAGAUUGGCUAGAGACAACUCAGGACCUCUGAGCAGGGGCAAAGCUAGCCAGGACGAUGCAGGUGGCCCUUCCCCUCCAUACCUCAUACAACUUGGCUCACAUGGCCUCUUUGGGGGUCUGAAAAAGAUGCCCCUCUGGGCUGAGCAGCCCCACAAUCUCACAACUUGUUAAGUGGAGCAUGGAUUGACUUUCAGCUUCUACUGACCCUUUGGGCCAGGCACACUUGUUCAGUGAACAAUCAGCCCAACCAUACAUGGCAGCUGUGACCACAGACAUUGUCUUUAUCUGAGUCUCACAGGAAGCCUUAUGAGACAAGCAGGGCGGAUACUGUUGCUCCAUUUUGAUGAGGAGAAAACUGGGGCCCAGAGAUGUGUCAAGGUCACACAGCAAGUAAACAGGAGCACCAGUGCUCACCAAGUCCUUUGCACUUCCCGCCUCAUCUCUGUCAGUAGGAAACAGCCCAGGGGACUAGUCCCCACGUUGCUGUUCUUUGGCUCCUAGCCAACCACUUGUAGCUAGAUAAGGGACCCCAGACUUGUCUGAAAGUUCUGGGCCUUUCUGCUCCCAUCUGUACUGUGAAAUGCUUUUUGUCACGUCUGAGCCCAUUUUCCUGCCUUAAUUAGCAAAACGUGAUGACUUGUUUUUGACACUGAAGAAUUGCUCUGGGACCCUCCGUUCGCCCUGUGGGUACAGACACGAGGCUCAGCACGUCUGAUCCCAGGCAACUCAGGGCAUUUGUGGGUCGGGGACAAUUUUGUCCUGGAUUCAUAGUAACAACUUUCAGUUAUUGUUUUCUUUUUCUCCUUCUCCUAAAGAGGAUUUGAAAUAAACACAAGUUAAUUGAAAGGUACA
rnacentral:lncRNA from 1 species